CCAUUUGCUCUCAUAAUAUCAGCAGCAUCUCCCUCUACAGCAGCUUCCAUCACUCUAAAUGCAGCACAAACAUGUUCUCUUCAGCUCCACUGCUGCUGCUGGCUGCUGCCUCGUAUGUGUUCUGUGCUACUGAGCUCAUCCAGCCAGACUCAGUGCUCAUCAAACCAGCAGAGCCUUUAACCAUCACCUGUACAGUAUCUGGAGCUUCUAUCACUGACUACAGCUAUUUUGGAACAGCCUGGAUCCGCCAUCCUGCAGGAAAAGCUCUGGAAUGGAUCAACCUCAUUUAUUAUGAUGGAGACAUACGUGCUAAAGAUUCACUGAAAAGCAAGUUUAGUGUCUCUCGAGACACAACCAGAAACACAGUAACCCUACAAGGACAGAAUCUGCAAGCUGAAGACACAGCUGUGUAUUAUUGUGCUCGAUAUGAUCACAGUGCUGUAAGAGACCAGCUGAGACGUACAAAAACUCACUCACACCAGAGCUUUUAUUCAAACAGAGGACAAAGCAUUGAUACAGACCAUGGUAAUGUGAACAAAGAUUAUCUGUAA